UACGGGGGGGGCAAGCGUUGUUCGGAAUUACUGGGCGUAAAGGGCUCGUAGGCGGCCAACUAAGUCAGACGUGAAAUCCCUCGGCUUAACCGGGGAACUGCGUCUGAUACUGGUUGGCUUGAGUGUGGGAGAGGGAUGCGGAAUUCCAGGUGUAGCGGUGAAAUGCGUAGAUAUCUGGAGGAACACCGGUGGCGAAGGCGGCUUCCUGGACCGGUUCUGACACUGAGGAGCGAAAGCGUGGGGAGCGAUCCGG
rnacentral:rRNA from 1 species